GUGUUAGUUAGGCAAGAGAGCUUGCCAGAUGUCUUAUUUUAUUUAGAGAUAAAGAGGAGACCGAAUGCUCUCAAGCCUCCCUGGUGACCACGGCCCACUCAGAAGAGCAAAAUUGCCUUCCUCCGGGCCUAUGGUGUUGGGAUCAGAGGAGAGAGAAAGUUCCUGUCAAUGACGUGUUCUGAAAGUCCAUCGAAUCUUGCUCACCUCUCUGCCUGCUCUAGGGAAGAAUGCCAUUUAGACCAGAUCAAACUGACG
rnacentral:lncRNA from 1 species